CUACGGGGUGCACCAGUGGGGAAUAUUGCACAAUGGGCGCAAGCCUGAUGCAGCCAUGCCGCGUGUAUGAAGGAGGCCUUCGGGUUGUAAAGUACUUUCAGCGGGGAGGAAGGGAGUAAAGUUAAUACCUUUGCUCAUUGACGUUACCCGCAGAAGAAGCACCGGCUAACUCCGUGCCAGCAGCCGCGGUAAUACGGAGGGUGCAAGCGUUAAUCGGAAUUACUGGGCGUAAAGCGCACGCAGGCGGUUUGUUAAGUCAGAUGUGAAAUCCCCGGGCUCAACCUGGGAACUGCAUCUGAUACUGGCAAGCUUGAGUCUCGUAGAGGGGGGUAGAAUUCCAGGUGUAGCGGUGAAAUGCGUAGAGAUCUGGAGGAAUACCGGUGGCGAAGGCGGCCCCCUGGACGAAGACUGACGCUCAGGUGCGAAAGCGUGGGGAGCAAACAGGAUUAGAUACCGGUAGUC
rnacentral:rRNA from 1 species